GACGAACGCUGGCGGCGUGCUUAACACAUGCAAGUCGAACGGAAAGGCCCUGCGUUUGUGGGUUUCUCGAUUGGCGAACGCGUGAGUAACACGUGUGUAACCUGCCCUUGUCUUUGUGAUAACUUCACGAAACUCGGGCUCUUACCGGAUAGGAUCUCUUGAUGCGUGGUGUGGGUUGGUAAGUGUCGGCGGUUGUGGAUGGAUGCGAGGCUUAUGAGCUUGUUGGUGGAGUAGUGGCUUCCCAAGGCUUUGACGGGUAGCCUGCCUGAGAGGGUGACCAGCCACAUUGGGCCUGAGGUACGGAGCAGAAUCCUACGGGCGGCAGCAGUGGAGAAUAUUACAGAGUGGGCGGACGCCAGAUGCAGCAGCGCCGCGUGCGGGAUGAUGUCCUAUGGGGUGAAAACAGAUUUCGCAGGUGACGAAGCGUGCGUGACGGUAAUGGGUAAAGAAGCAACGGCUAACUACGUG
rnacentral:rRNA from 1 species